rnacentral:rRNA from 1 species
GUUGGCAUCGGGGUACGGCUCUUCACCCUUUGUGACAUACCCAACUGUUGCUUCGGCGGGUCGGGGCGCCCUCCCGGGGGCGCCCCCCAGGCCCGGCCCCUCCCGGGGCCGAGCGCCCGCCGGAGGAUCACCCAACUCUAUUUUAACGACGUUUCUUCUGAGUGGCACAAGCAAAUAAUUAAAACUUUUAACAACGGAUCUCUUGGUUCUGGCAUCGAUGAAGAACGCAGCGAAAUGCGAUAAGUAAUGUGAAUUGCAGAAUUCAGUGAAUCAUCGAAUCUUUGAACGCACAUUGCGCCCGCCAGCAUUCUGGCGGGCAUGCCUGUUCGAGCGUCAUUUCAACCCUCAAGCCCGGCUUGGUGUUGGGGCACUACGGUCGACGUAGGCCCUUAAAGGUAGUGGCGGACCCUCCCGGAGCCUCCUUUGCGUAGUAACUAACGUCUCGCAUCGGGAUCCGGAGGGACUCCUGCCGUAAAACCCCCACACUUUUUCUGGUUGACCUCGGAUCAGGUAGGAAUACCCGCUGAACUUAAGCAUAUCAAUAAGGAGGAGGAA